GUAGUAGUGGUUCAGUGAGAGAAUUCUCGCCCUCCACGUGGGAGACCCAGGUUCGAUUCCUGGCCAGUGCA
rnacentral:tRNA from 1 species